AUGAGCAACUCUAUUUUCAGAGGUUUCUUAGAAAUAGAAAAUAGUAGAGAAAGUUCUGCUACAUUGAUUUCCAGUUUUUGUGACAUUUAUGAACCGGCAACAAAAGUUUUUGUGUUGAACAACCAUGCUUCCUUUUCUUUCUGUGUUGAAGAGGUAGCGUAUGUUAUUGGUAUGGAAAAUACCGGAACUGGUUUAGCAAUCUCUCGUGAAAGAAAAUUUCCUCAAUUUAUCUUUGACUUGAAAAAAGAUUUGAACUUGCCAUAA